AGGCUAAUGAUGAUAAAUUUUAUAUCUUAGUGGGUUUUGAGCGAGAUUUUAUCAAUGAUCUGAGUGCUACAUACACUGAAGCCU